CAUAGAUCAUUGUUUCAGUGCUCAUGCACUUCCUCAGAGCGAUGCCAAGUGCUCUCUAUAAAUAAAAUGAGCUAUGGUUUCUUGUACCCAUUUAAUAGAAAAAACAACUGAGGCUCAGAGGGAUUCACUAUCAUGCUUAGGCAUUUCCCCGAAGUUGCACAGCUAGUAAGCGAUGACUGAGGAUUUCACUCCAAGUGUCUGAUUCAGAAGCCGCACUCCUGAUCACGACGUGAGCAUGAACUAGAAUCAAUACACUCACAAACACGGCGUCGUCAAGGCGGCCGUUGCUGACACAAACUGGAAGGUUCUCAUGGCAACGGAGACGUGGCCGCCUGGCCGCCUCUACACCGAGGUUAAAUGUCCCCUUGCUCGUGAGGUUUGACGUGACCUCCAGCUAAGGUUACUACGAAGUCGUACCUCCCGCGUGUCUCAAACUCCGCAGCUGUCGCAGGACGUUAGGUGUCUGGCUCGUUCUACUAGAACGUUUCCUUUCUGAAAUGAUUUUUGAAUUAUGUGGUUCAAACGAAUAUAAAACUUUAAAGGUGAGGGGACACAGAUGUUUCAUCUGAAUACAGUUGACUCAGUUACUGAAGAUGUGGCUGAAAUGGAAAGGUUAUCCAGAACACCACAGAAGUAUGUCAUUGGGGGGAGGCGGAGAAAGGAUGUCAUUGGAUUAGACUGACGGUGUCCUUCUCCAGGAGGUAAGAGGGCCUGGAACUUGAUGUACUCACUGGGACGCUAUCCUAGGGAUUGAGAUCAUUUGUAGGU
rnacentral:lncRNA from 1 species